rnacentral:tRNA from 1 species
GCAUUGGUGGUUUGUGGUAGAAUUGUUACCUUCCAUGCAGAAGACCUGGGUUUGAUUCCUGGCCAAUGCA